rnacentral:lncRNA from 10 species
UCAUCCUGUCCUCACAAUGGCUGGUGUGGAGACCCACAGACUUCAUCCUUAGGACGGACCUUCAGGCACCCAGGCUGCCUACUGACCUCCCUGGCAUGGGUGGGAACCGGGAGCUCGUUGGUAAGCAGGAGGAUUCAGGACUAUCGACUGAACCCCACCUCCUCUGUGGCACGCACCGUGCUGUGUCUUUGCAGUCAUCAUCUCAUCACCUCUGCACAGGAAGAUUAUCUCCCCCAUUUUGUGAUGAGGAAAUGGAGGCUCCAGGUGGAAAGAUGCAACCUGGGCCAGAGGCCCCUGGAGGUUGUGCCUGAACCCAGACAGAUCACACAAACCUGAGCAGCCAUUAGCCGCUGUGUGGGCUCCUUUGCACUGUGGGGCUGCUCCUGGGGAUAUUUACGUUGUGAACUGGUAAAAUCUGAACUGCAGAAUAUCAAUUUCCAGACAUUCUUCCUAGAUGAUGCCGUCUGCCACGGAGACCAUGUAGAUGGAUUGAAUGGGGAUAUGAUGAGGAUGACCACCCCUGCAUUUGCUAAGUUCUUGGGAGUGGCAUCGAUCUCAGCCAUUCCACUGGAAUAGGGUCAGGAAACAAAACGUGAGGGCUCUACCAGCUGCUCAGUCUAUCCUUUCCAAUUGAGCACACUGGAACUGAGGAAGCAAAGACAGGGUGAGCCCUAACACCCUCAUCAUCACUGCUGAGCCUGCCUUGACAAGAACUCCAUUUAUCACCCGCCUCCAUAAUAGCCCAUUCUAACUAGCUGUCAUCGUGGCAUUUCAGGUUCUGCUGAUGUCAUUAUAAUGGACCUUAACUAGUGGGCUGAAGGCAAUGAGGGGAUGUGAGGAUGCAUCUUGUGAAGGACAAAAGUCAUCCUGUAAGGAUUCAUGAGACCUGAGCAGCCAGCCAGCCCUGAAAUGGUUGGAACAGGAGAAAGAAGAAGAGCUCGACAGAUACCCUGCCUGGGCUGGCAGCUAGCUGCACCACAAGCUGGCCAGCUGACAGCGGGCACAUCCCUUCAUCACCCAGUGCCUUUCUUCCCUCUUGUGAAAAUGGAGAUAUGCUGAGAAGGUUACUUCAGCUCAUCCAGAGAAAGCUUCUUCAGCUAACUAGGCUGUAGAAAGGGCCUACAGCCUAAAUUUUCAAAAACAAGUUAAUGCCAGAAUAUAAACUCCGUGAAGUAACA